CAUAUCAAUAAGCGGAGGAAAAGAAACUAACAAGGAUUCCCCUAGUAACUGCGAGUGAAGCGGGAAAAGCUCAAAUUUAAAAUCUGGCAGCCUUUGGUUGUCCGAGUUGUAAUCUAGAGAAGUGUUAUCCGCGUUGGACCGUGUACAAGUCUCCUGGAAUGGAGCGUCAUAGAGGGUGAGAAUCCCGUCUUUGACACGGACUGCCAGGGCUUUGUGAUGCGCUCUCGAAGAGUCGAGUUGUUUGGGAAUGCAGCUCAAAAUGGGUGGUAAAUUCCAUCUAAAGCUAAAUAUUGGCGAGAGACCGAUAGCGAACAAGUACCGUGAGGGAAAGAUGAAAAGAACUUUGGAAAGAGAGUUAAACAGUACGUGAAAUUGCUGAAAGGGAAACGCUUGAAGUCAGUCGCGUUGUCCAGGGAUCAGCCUUGCUUUUGCUUGGUGCACUUUCUGGUUGACGGGUCAGCAUCAAUUUUGACUAUUGGAAAAAGAUUAGGGGAAUGUGGCAUCUUCGGAUGUGUUAUAGCCCUUGGUUGCAUACAAUGGUUGGGAUUGAGGAACUCAGCACGCCGCAAGGCCGGGUUUUUAACCACGUACGUGCUUAGGAUGCUGGCAUAAUGGCUUUAAUCGACCCGUCUUGAAACACGGACCAAGGAGUCUAACAUGCCUGCGAGUGUUUGGGUGGAAAACCCGAGCGCGUAAUGAAAGUGAAAGUUGAGAUCCCUGUCGCGGGGAGCAUCGACGCCCGGACCAGACCUUUUGUGACGGUUCCGCGGUAGAGCAUGUAUGUUGGGACCCGAAAGAUGGUGAACUAUGCCUGAAUAGGGUGAAGCCAGAGGAAACUCUGGUGGAGGCUCGUAGCGAUUCUGACGUGCAAAUCGAUCGUCAAAUUUGGGUAUUAGGGGCGAAAGACUAAUCGAACCAUUCUAGUAGCUGG
rnacentral:rRNA from 1 species